rnacentral:lncRNA from 1 species
GAAGAGGCAAAAGAAAACAACGGAAAGGAGGAAGAGGUGAAAGAAACCAAUGAAACUAAAGAAGAGAAACCUGACCAGGAAAUUGAAGUGGAGGAAGAGAAGCCGGAAACCAAGAGUGAGGCAAUGGAAGAAGAGCCAGAUAAUAAGGAUGAGGAAAUGGCUGAAGAGCCAGAUAAUAAGGAUGAGGAAGAGGAAAUGGCUGAAGAGCCAGAUAAUAAGGAUGAUGAUGAAGAAAUGGCUGAAGAGCCAGAGAACAAGGAUGAGGAUGCUAGAGAGGAGGGUGAGAAAGAGGAUAACAAAACCAAUGAAAAGCAUAAAGAUGAAGGGGGGUCUAAGAAGAGUGUUAAAUCAAAGGGGCAGAAAGACAAUAAAAGGAAACGAGAAGUUGCACCAAAGAAGGAGAAGGAGCCAAAAACUCCUGCACCCCCAACAAUUGACCGCCCUGUACGCGAACGCAAAUCUGUUGAAAGGCUUGUUGCAUCUAUUGACAGAGAAGCCAACAAGGAAUUCCGUAUUGAAAAGGUCUGCUAUACAAUUACUGAUAUUUGUUGCCUUUUCUCCCUCUGUAUUUCCAGAUUUUAGGCCCCUCACUGCACAUUUAUUGUUGCUUAUGAGAUGAAUUUAUGUUUUAUGUGCUCUGCAGGGUCGUGGAACUGCACUAAAAGAUAUCCCCAAUGGUAUUCUACUUACUGAUUCCUUAAGUUUUAGCUGUCAUUUUUUUCUAGUAUGGUAUCUCUAUUGUAAAAUUCAGUUGCGUCCUCACCUCAUAAGAUUCAUAUAGCUGCAAAUUAACAUUGUCAAUGACUCAACAUAGCGUUAAUGCUGCAGAACAGAAAGUCAUUUUCUUAUGAUAUGUGCUCCCUCCCUCCCUCCCCCCUCCACACACAAGAAAAAAAUAAUCUUGCUUUUGUGGCAUAACUUUAUAGCUUUGCGAACAGCAAAACAAGUAUACCUCAAUCCCUGGGAAGGUCUACUCUAUGAAAAUUAGUUUCUCUAGCAUUGGAUAUUCUUUACAUCAUUUCUGAUAUAUAAAUAUAACAAGACUCCUAACAAACAUUGGAUCCAAUGUAAAUGCACUAACAUGACUAAAGCUUAAUCCCAAUGAAAUGGUAUUGUAGGUUUGCGUGCCAUCCAAGUGAUGUAGGUCUCUCACUACAGCUUCCAUGUGCUAUGUCUGGAUGAGAUUUUAUUACUCUGCGAAAGGAUAUAGAAAUUUGCUGCUUCUAGUAAUUGCCUCUGUUACUAUGUACUUGUUCUUUGUCUACUUCUGCUCCUACAAAUAUAGGUAUAGAGUUUAAGAGACAAAUUAUUUGCAUCUGAGGUCAGUUUCCAGGGUUGGAUCCAGUGGUUCCUCACCAGGUUCAUCCGAACCCGGCAUUUUCAACACAGAACAAACUUUUAUUAGAAAACCACAAAAAAUUCAAGAAAUAUUGUAUUUGAAACCAUAAUUUUGAAAGUAUAAUGAGUUAAGUGCUAAGAACCUUAAAGGUUGAACCUGUCAAGUUAAGAUCUUGAAACCUGUCCUCUCCUUCUUUUAUCUUUUUGUCCCUUUUGUGUAUCAGGAUAGGUUAUUGAAAUUCUCUAGUGAUCAAAUGCCCCUAUAGACGAUCAAAAGGACAGUCUCUAGUGAUCCAAUACUUCGCUAAGCAGCCUAGUUUUGUUGGUGCAUCUUUUACUCAUUUGUGGUAGUGUGGUUUUAUAUUGCCAGUCACUGUUCUUCUUGUGUUUUGGCACAUCUAAUUUUCUGAUGUCUAAUGAUUUCAGCUGAAAUUUUUUGAUCACUGGAACUUCUUUUUCAUUCCUUUUUUUAUUUUUUUUAUUUUGAACUUCAGUUGCAUACAAAUUAUCCAAAAAGAAGACGGAAGACACAUUCAAAUUGCUGCACACUAUUCUCUAUGGGCGGCGUGGAAAGGUGAUGUCCUGACUUGUAGUUCUUUUCCUUUCCUGAUCUGUCUCGGAAUUGUAUUGUUUAUCUUGCUCUUGGUCUUCCCAUUUUAUAACUAGUUAUGUCCAUUAAGUUCUCUUCUUGACUAUGGAUAGGUUUCUUUAAUAGAGCUAUUAACUUUUCUCUCAUGAGUACAUUAAAGAAAGCCUUGGAAAGCUACACGUUUUUUUGUGCUAUAUCAAUCAAUUCUUUGAAACUUUCAAGUUUCUUUUCUAGUUCCGUAUUCUAUUAGUGAACUUGCUCUUUUUUUUUAGUAAUCAGCAAAAAAAAGAAGAAGAAAGAACUUACUUCUUUCUAACACACUGAACACUGUUAUACGCUGAUAUGUGAUAUCAUAGCUUUGCUAUUUGCAAUAAUUAAAAGGAAAAAAAUGCUAUGGUCAUCUUAUGUCCUCUGUGUCCUCCAAGAGGAAUGAUAGAAUUAUCUUACUUUGAUUUUCAAGAGUUGGCAUAAUUCAGACAAUAUCUUGUUUGAUAGUUCCAAUAAAUGUAGACCAGUCCGGAUAGUAAGUAGUUGUGGAAAGGCUUAAAUAUUGAAAAUAUUUAUCAACAUAGCUUGAACCUGAAGAUUCCAUAGGAUCACAGUCUCGAAAUAUAUUUAUAGACUUACUGCUUACAUCUGUGAAUAUUUGUUGGUCUUAUAAUCCUGUGUUGAUACAUUUUAUUUAACUGGAGAAGUUGACGGGGAAGAGAGAAAUGAAUGAAUGUUCUUUUGGGAAAACGUAUAAUAAUAAUAAUCCUGCCACGUUGAAAGCCAAAGGUGAGACUCCUAGGUGGACGAAGAAAAAUGAAAAGAAAACUUAAAAAGAAUCUUUAAUGUGUUUGGAACUUAGGAUGGGUGCAUUGUGCACAGUGCAGAACUGGAGUUUCACUUGUUCAUGAUGGCACUAUGUCCUCAUGUCCUUUCAGAAAGUAGAAUCCUGAAGUUGAACUUCACAAAGUCUACUCUUUAUGACUCAUCCUGUAUCAUGUGAUAGCCUAAAAGUUUUGGCUUUGCUUGAUAUUAAUUAUUUCACAAAAAGUCGUUUUUCUUCUUCCCUCAUCUUUCACCUUGAAAGGAGGAUAGAAUCGGUAUAUGAAAUUACCAAGGUGAAGCGAACAUUUCACCUUUUAUCUUGAGGAAAUUACCUGUCGGUGGGAGAUAACAGGUCCCAAGUGGAAUUAGUUGAGGCGCACGAAAGUUGGCCUGGACACCAUGGUUAUAAAUAAUAAUGUUGUGGGUACUCUAAUGUAUUUUGAAUUUUGUUUGAGCCAUAUUGUAGUUUACUUUUCUUAUUUCACAACUCAAAAGCAGUGACAACUGAAGUGAUACAUCUAAUUUUGAGAUCAUUUGCAACCUAAGUCCACGAGGAAGCUUGUACUUCUUUAAGAAAAAAGAAAUGCUUUAUAAACUAUAUCUAGUUUCUAAAGAGUCACAUCUGCAACCUAAGUGCCAUAUCAUUUCUUUUCAGCUGACACUGAGGUACUUUUUUUUUUCCAGCAAUCAGUUGAAACUUUCUGAUAUCUGCAAUUUAUUCCCUGUAAGAAAAAGUCUUGCAAAUAUUUACCAUAGUGUGCUUGUCUGCGUUUGAUUGCAAGUUUUGUUGAACAUGAGAUUUUCCUUUAUUUUCUUCUUGCAAUUAUGAUGAUUUGAAGCAUUUAGCAUGAUUUUUCUUACUGAUAAUUUCAUUAGGAUUAUUCUGCUUGUUACUUGAUCACCACUUGUGGAAUUAGUCAGCAGCUCAUUCCGCUAGAUUGAUAUUCACUUUUAAUCUUGCUUUCCUAGUUUCAUCAUUUAUUUAUUUUUCUCAUAGUUCUUGUCCUUCGCAGGCAGCCCAGAUCAAGAGUAAUAUUUCACGGUUUUCUGGCUUUGUCUGGCAUGAAAAUGAGGUAAAUGACAUCUCAUGUUGUGUAAGGAUGCAUGUAUGAGUAAACGACUAUUCCGUUCCCUUUUUGCCUGAGAUGGUGAUCUGGGGAAAUUUGAGCAUAAACCUUCUCUUUGUUUGCUCAUACUGGUUGUAUAUGUAUCUCAUUCAUUGUUUCUCAGAAAAUUGCGUCUCAUCCAUUAUCUUAUGUUUGAGCUUCUAGAAGUUCUCAAGGUUAGGUCAUUGUAAUGUUGCAGGAAAAGCAAAAGAUGAAAGUAAAAGAAAAGCUUGACAAGUAUAUUAAAGAGAAGCUGUUGGAAUUCUGUGAUGUACUGGAUAUACCUGUUACCAAAGCUACUUCAAGAAAGGUGUGUUCAUAUGUUUUAGCUGCAUGUUUUAUAUUUCACUCAAGUAGUUCUUUUCUCACUCAAGUGCAAUUUAUUUUAUGAGAAUUACAUAUGUAGGCUAAAUAGGAAGAAGAUAUUUUUCCUUUUGAAUAUUUUGACUGAAAAAAUUGCUUUCAUCUUCAACCUGUCACUUUGUACUAUGUGAAGAUUGCAUCUUGUAUACAAUCUUCCUCUCAAGCGUCUUAACUAAUUAGGAGAUUUAUAUGAUCAGGAAGACAUGGUGGUAAAGUUGAUGGACUUUUUGGAAGCUCCUCAUGCUACAACUUCUGAGUUGCUUGCCGAGAAGGACCAGGUGGGUGACUUCUGACUGUGAUAAAAGCAUUUGUCACUUAUUCUGUUAGUUUAUAUAGUAUGCUGACACAGCUCCGGUCAAAUGAAUAGUCAAGUAGAGGAAAGAAGCGGAGAAGAGAGAGCAAAAAAAGUCCCUCAUCGGCAUCCGCUAGCUCGAAAGGUUCAACCAAGGUAUUUCUCUCUCAUUAACAUUUAUUUAAGUUCUAGUAGUGAAAUAAUACCAACUGAAAUAUGGUUUUCCAUUUGCAACUGGCAACUUGUAUCCUGUAGUUUUAACUCUUAAUUAUAUUUCACGAACAAAAUUUGAUAAAAUUAAUCAAAUUUCAUUGCACAAAAUUUUUUGUUGUAGUUUUACCUGUUCCCGUCUUGAGUUUAUGAAUCCACAUUCUAAGAUCUCAGAGGGUUAGUAUCACCAUGACUUAACAGUGUAGAAGUUGCCAAAAUUGCUUGCAAUUUAUUCCUGCUGCUUUGAAGUGGCUUUGUCUUGGAAAUGUUCGACUGCUAAUCUGAUUUUUAUAGAGUGAGAUCUUUUUACCUUAAUGAAAAAGAAGAAAAAGUCAUCUUACAGUAAGCUGAAAUUUUGCUGUCUGGAUUAAUACUACAUAUGUUUUAAGAACAGUCAUCAUGUUUAUUACCAUAUGUUGUUUUCGAAUUAGAAUAAGAAAAAAGAAAGGGCGGAGCUGUGCUUUUACAUCAAUAUUUUAUUUGGGGGGUGUUUGGUUUUCUUUUUCACAAUACAGAGUGGAAAGAAGGCCGAAACUGCACAAAAGGCUGAAAAGAAGAAGAAUGUGCAAGAGUCAGAAGAUGAAUCUGAGCAAGAAGUAGAUGUCCAUGAGGAGGAAUCUGAAGAGGAAAAGACUAAUGGUGUUCCUGAGAGAUCUGAUGAUGAGAAGUCAGAUCAGGCUGAAAGUGAGAAGGAGAGUGAAUCUGAAGAUGAGCCAGAGACUGAGCCGGAGCCAGAGCC